AAAAUGCGAUAAGUAAUGUGAAUUGCAGAAUUCAGUGAAUCAUCGAAUCUUUGAACGCACAUUGCGCCCGCCAGUACUCUGGCGGGCAUGCCUGUCCGAGCGUCAUUUCAACCCUCAGGGCUCUCCGGCACUGGUCGGAGGGCGCUGGUGUUGGGGAUCGGCUUCCCUAGCGGCUGCCGUCCCCUAAAUGUAGUGGCGGUCCCACCGUGACCUCCCCUGUGAAGUACUUAGCUCGCAGAGGGACAGCGGUGCGGCCACGCCGUAAAACACCCAACUCUUCAAGGUUGACCUCGGAUCAGGUAGGACUACCCGCUGAACUUAA
rnacentral:misc_RNA from 1 species